rnacentral:rRNA from 1 species
CCCCUAGAUGUUCUGGGCCGCACGCGCGCUACACUGAACAGUUCAACAAGUCUUAACCUUGGCCGAUCGGUCUGGGUAAUCUUUGAACGCUGUUCGUGAUUGGGAUAGACCUUUGCAAUUAUGGGUCUUCAACGAGGAAUUCCUAGUAAACGCAAGUCAUCAGCUUGCAUUGAUUACGUCCCUGCCCUUUGUACACACCGCCCGUCGCACCUACCGAUUGAAUGGUCCGGUGAAAUCUCGGGACGGCGGCUUGGUCGCUUGCGUCCGACUGCUGAAACUUGAUUAAACCACAUCAUUUAGAGGAAGGUGAAGUCGUAACA